rfam:Eucalyptus grandis cultivar BRASTZ1 unplaced genomic scaffold scaffold_1, whole genome shotgun sequence.
UAUAUGCCUUCAAAAUAAAGAACCUUGAAUACUAUAAAAAAAAUCACCUAUACCUAACAGGAUUAAGUGAAUACCUAAAUUUGUGGUCAUUUUAUUUAUAUAUUUCCA